UACAGAGGGUGCAAGCAUUAAUCGGAAUUAUUGGGCGUAAAGGGCGUGUAGGCGGUUGGUCAAGUCUGGUGUGAAAGCCCGGGGCUUAACCCCGGAAGUGCAUUGGAAACUAGCCAGCUGGAGCGCGAGAGAGGAGGGUGGAAUUCCUGGUGUAGCGGUGAAAUGCGUAGAUAUCAGGAGGAACACCGGCGGCGAAGGCGGCCCUCUGGCUCGUUGCUGACGCUGAGGCGCGAAAGCGUGGGGAGCAAACAGG
rnacentral:rRNA from 1 species